UCUCUCGCCUCUCUUCACUCUCUCUGUUUGGCCGAAAAUAGGAAGAAGAAAAGGGAAGAAAAAUCUAGCCAAAAUCCUUACAAAAUUACUUCAAUCCACUUCCAGAUUUCAUCAUCCAUUAGAGGGCUUUGAUCCUAGCUUGGAAGAGGGGGCUGUUCAUCGGUUUUCUUGGAGGAAUUUCGGUCAAGAUUUCUGCCCUAAAGCUGUCCAACUAAGUUCUUGAGAAUGAUUGAUGGAAUGAAGUUGGAAGAAAGUUAGAAAUUUGGAAAAGGAUCUCAAGAGGACUUCGAGGGAACUCCCGGCGAAGCGUCUUAGAGCUAAUUUCUCAAACUUUGACUUUUGAUACUUGGUUUGGAAGUGGAAGUUCUGAGGCUUAAUUAGUGACCCC